rnacentral:lncRNA from 1 species
AGGGUUUCCUACACUAGAGUUCAUCCCCAAUCUGGGUUCUCCUGGACUCUAGCUGAGCCCCAGGAACAACAGGGAGGAUGGUGCUGGCCUCAUAGCUUUCUUGGAGGACCACGUUUUUCUUAUCAGUAGAUCUACAAGACCUUCUGUAUCACUCCCAACCAUCAUAAGAAUGACAAGCAUCAGGAGGGAUACAGAGAAAGACUUUGCUAACGGAAGAAGCUGACAGAAGCUGAGGAAACCACAUAGACGAGAACAGAACGUAUAAAAAUGGAGGUAUGCGUAUUUUGUUACUAGAGCUAAGUUCAGCUACUGCUUAUAAAAA